rnacentral:lncRNA from 1 species
GUGCGCAAACAGGUAAACCCAUUGAAUUGAUCAAACAAAUAUGUACAUAUACAUGUACAUAGACAUAUGUCCAUGUUUACAUACAUAAACUUGUGGAGAAUAACAAGAGAAGCUACAAGAUCAUAAUAAUAGAACCAUCUAAUUUUCAUCCAAAAAUUCAGAAGAGAACGUAUAUGAACCUGUUUUAGGAUAGACAGAAGAAACUCCAAACUGGAUACAAACUAAACUUUAAUGAGCUAAUAUAACCUACUCAUAGAACAAAAAUCUUUCCUUGAAAGACUUCCACCCUUAAAGACAGAGGAACUGGCAUCUCCUCAGAAACAUAAAAUACAAAGCAGUGAACACUUGUUCUCCAUAACAAUGGCAUGAGAUUCAUAGCAACAGCAAGUAAAAGAACCCAACUGCACCAUCCAAUACUCAAAAAACAUUCUCCCUUUUUAGGGGUUCCACCAUCCAAAUCAUUAUUCCAUUCCAUCAAAGGUCAAGCAUGACAAGUGCAACUAAGAUAUCAGUCACUUAGAAUUCUUUCAUCUGA